UCAGGAUGAACGCUGGCGGCGUGCUUAACACAUGCAAGUCGAACGAAGCAACUUAUCACGAUCCCUUCGGGGUGACGAUUGUUGACUGAGUGGCGGACGGGUGAGUAACGCGUGGGUAACCUGCCUUGUACAGGGGGACAACAGUUGGAAACGACUGCUAAUACCGCAUAAGCGCACAGCUUCGCAUGAAGCAGUGUGAAAAGUUUUUCGGUACAAGAUGGACCCGCGUCUGAUUAGCUAGUUGGUGAGGUAACGGCCCACCAAGGCGACGAUCAGUAGCCGACCUGAGAGGGUGACCGGCCACAUUGGGACUGAGACACGGCCCAAACUCCUACGGGAGGCAGCAGUGGGGAAUAUUGCACAAUGGGCGCAAGCCUGAUGCAGCGAACCGCCGCGUGAGCGAAGAAGUAUUUCGGUAUGUAAAGCUCUAUCAGCAGGGAAGAUAAUGACGGUACCUGACUAAGAAGCACCGGCUAAAUACGUGCCAGCAGCCGC
rnacentral:rRNA from 1 species